GAUGAACGCUAGCGGGAGGCCUAACACAUGCAAGCCGAGCGGUAUUGUUUCUUCGGAAAUGCGAGAGCGGCGUACGGGUGCGUAACACGUGUGCAACCUGCCUUUAUCUGGGGGAUAGCCUUUCGAAAGGAAGAUUAAUACUCCAUAAUAUAUUGAACGGCAUCGUUUAAUAUUGAAAGCUCCGGCGGAUAGAGAUGGGCACGCGCAAGAUUAGCUAGUUGGUGAGGUAACGGCUCACCAAGGCGAUGAUCUUUAGGGGGCCUGAGAGGGUGAUCCCCCACACUGGUACUGAGACACGGACCAGACUCCUACGGGAGGCAGCAGUGAGGAAUAUUGGUCAAUGGGUGCAAGCCUGAACCAGCCAUCCCGCGUGAAGGACGACUGCCCUAUGGGUUGUAAACUUCUUUUGGAUAGGGAUAAACCUACCCUCGAGAGGGUAGCUGAAGGUACUAGACGAAUAAGCACCGGCUAACUCCGUG
rnacentral:rRNA from 1 species